CCUACGGGUGGCAGCAGUGAGGAAUAUUGGACAAUGGACGAGAGUCUGAACCAGCAAAGUAGCGUGAAGGAUGACUGCCCUAUGGGUUGUAAACUUCUUUUAUAAAGGAAUAAAACGAGGCACGUGUGCCUUUUUGUAUGUACUUUAUGUAUAAGGAUCGGCUAACUCCGUGCCAGCAGCCGCGGUAAUACGGAGGAUGCGAGCGUUAUCCGGAUUUAUUGGGUUUAAAGGGAGCGUAGAUGGGUUGUUAAGUCAGUUGUGAAAGUUUGCGGCUCAACCGUAAAAUUGCAAUUGAUACUGGCAGUCUUGAGUACAGUUGAGGUAGGCGGAAUUCGUGGGGUAGCGGUGAAAUGCUUAGAUAUCACGAAGAACCCCGAUUGCGAAGGCAGCUUACUAAACUGUGACUGACGUUGAUGCUCGAAAGUGUGGGUAUCAAACAGGAUUAGAUACCCGUGUAGUC
rnacentral:rRNA from 1 species